rnacentral:rRNA from 1 species
UACGGGAGUGGCAAGCGUUAUCCGGAAUUAUUGGGCGUAAAGCGUCCGCAGGCGGUCUUGUAAGUCUGUUGUUAAAGCGUGGAGCUUAACUCCAUUUGAGCAACGGAAACUGCAAGACUAGAGUGUGGUAGGGGCAGAGGGAAUUCCCGGUGUAGCGGUGAAAUGCGUAGAUAUCGGGAAGAACACCAGUGGCGAAGGCGCUCUGCUGGGCCAUAACUGACGCUCAUGGACGAAAGCCAGGGGAGCGAAAGGGAUUAGAUACCCCUGUAGUCCUGGCCGUAAACGAUGAACACUAGGUGUCGGGGGAAUCGACCCCCUCGGUGCCGUAGCCAACGCGUUAAGUGUUCCGCCUGGGGAGUACGCACGCAAGUGUGAAACUCAAAGGAAUUGACGGGGGCCCGCACAAGCGGUGGAGUAUGUGGUUUAAUUCGAUGCAACGCGAAGAACCUUACCAGGGUUUGACAUCCUGCGAAUCUUUUGGAAACAGAAGAGUGCCUUCGGGAACGCAGUGACAGGUGGUGCAUGGCUGUCGUCAGCUCGUGUCGUGAGAUGUUGGGUUAAGUCCCGCAACGAGCGCAACCCACGUCGUUAGUUGCCAGCAUUGAGUUGGGCACUCUAGCGAGACCGCCGGUGAUAAACCGGAGGAAGGUGUGGAUGACGUCAAGUCAUCAUGCCCCUUACAUCCUGGGCUACACACGUACUACAAUGCUACGGACAAAGGGAAGCAAACUCGCGAGAGCUAGCAAAUCCCAUAAACCGUGGCUCAGUUCAGAUCGUAGGCUGCAACUCGCCUACGUGAAGGAGGAAUCGCUAGUAAUCGCAGGUCAGCAUACUGCGGUGAAUACGUUCCCGGGCCU